UUGUAUUAAAUCAUAAGAUAAAGGACUACCUUUUAUUUCACUUUCAGAAUGAUGAAAUGUCUUGAGCAACUAAUCACAGGUCCAUUAGAAUGGAGGUGGUGAAUGGUGGUUGAUUAAGCACUGCACUUGAAGUCAGAUGACAUGGACUCAACUCCUAUCUCUAUGAGAAUUCCUUAACAUUGUGCCUGGGAAAUGCUAAAUAAUCAAUGAGUAUCUGUCGCAUGAGAUUGAAGGGCAGUAUAAAAACCAGCCAGUUUGAGUUCUUAAAAAGGGUGAACACAGUGGGUAGAAAAAGAGAUAAUGCAAAGUCACAAUUUAUCUUGUGGCUUUAUUAAGACACUGUGUUUCCUAAAUUGAGCUCUUCCCCAGUUUAUAUAUUUUCCCAAUUAUUAUUAACUAUAAUGAGACAUUAAGACAUAAAAUAUGAAAAUUAGUCUUGUUUUAUUAUUCAGCAUCUGAUGAACCAUGCAAGUUACAGAAAAUAUUUUUAGAAGUAAUUUUCUGUGUAUAUCAGAUAACAGAAUAAGAUGUGGAUCUUAAAGCAAAGCGAGCCGAUUUGGAAGGACAAUAAAAAGAGAUUAACCAAUUUAUAUCAUGGACAUUUUUCAAACAGAAACAUAUAAAUAGGUUGUCCAUAUGCUCUUAGAUUGGCGUUUGGAGAAAAAAUGCAGAAGUAGGUUGAGGAUUACUACUCAGGGUAAACUAAAUGCGUACAAUACAAUGUAAGGAAUCAAGACAGUGUCAGUAUUGAUCUACUAUGAUCAGCAUUGCCAUCCUCCUUCCCUGACCUCAUCCUAACCUGUUCUUGUAAACUACUGCUUUCAGAGAUUAUUAUGGCAGCCUCUUGUAGCUGUUUUUGCCAGUGGCCCAAUAGACAUUCGAAUUUGCAUUUUUUUCAAAUUACCUUUAAGUGCUUGUACAGGUAGACAGGUCAGCACUGCACUUUCAUCGUCAUUAAGGUCAGCUAAAGGUAGGUUUCCUGAUAAGGCUACUGUAGUAGCUCAAAUAUAUUAUAUUUGCAAUAAUUCCUUAAGAAUAUUGUACAAAGCCUCGGGUUUUCUUCUUUAAUAUUGAAAAAUGCAAAUUGUCACAUUAUCAGUGUCUGUUCCCUCUACAUUUUGCAGUACCUGAGGCAAGGUCCAUGUCCUUGGGUGUAUUUUUUUUUUUGGUGGAGGGGGGAUGUAGGUAGGCUCUCUCAUUUUUUCCCAGGUCUGUGUGUGUGUGUGUGUGCACAUAUUCGGGUGUAGGGGUGCAUGCCAGUCAGUUGAGGGUGGACUGGGAAGGAUUCCAGGGUUUUACAAUAUAAAGUCCCUUAAUAUCUUCAAGUAGUGUCUGAUUUCAGCAAUCUUGACAGGAUCCUCAGCCAUGCUCAUGUCCACCUGCACCACCAGAGCACAGAGGUGAGAGGUCAAGCCUGGAAGGGGGACACUUGUUAGUGCAAGAGAGAGUCAGAAAGCAGGAGGGAUUAAGGUAAAUACUUUUAUCUUCCUCUCCUCCUGCCCUUUGAUAUUUAAAUUUCCUCUUAGUACAUCCCACUGGACAAACCCAGCUGCAAGUCAGAGGGCAAAGGAGUCUGGGUAUUGUAAACCAUAGAGGGCAGCCUUCCAGAAAGCCUGAGGAGGACAGGCAAGGAUGGAUAAGGAUCAAUAGGAUAUGGAUAAGGAUCAACCAGGAAAUAAGGAAAAGUUCCUUGUCUUCCCUUUCCCUCAGGUUGUUCCCUAAAAGCAACUACUUGAAACUCUUUAGCUUAUUCUUUAGAUAUUUACUUUCACAUCUCUACUAAGCUCACUUAUAUUACUAAUUCCUGGUUUUUUAAUACUAGACAUUUUCUACUGAUGUCCCAAUUUCGACCCCAAAUCUAAUAUCAUACCAACACACACCAAAUACAUUUUUUUUUUUACCUUCUCAAUAUUUUAUAUGAUAAGUUUGGUUAUAUCAGUUUUCUGUUUGUAUUACCAAAAUUACACAUAUGCUAUGCACAACUAAACAUAUUUGGCACCAUGACUAGUUUUCCUUUCUUGCACAAAUCUUUUGGCUGUUGUUCCCUAGGUCUAUUAGUAUCCAUGUUGCUUUUUUUUUUUUUUCCCAUUUGUUCAGUAUACUAAAUAUUACUUGUUACUUCCAACACUGGCUUUCCAAUAAUUAUCUAAAUUUGCUUUUAAGCCACGCAAAUGCAGUAGGUAUUGCAUCAAUGUCUUCUUUUUGGAAUCAUCCCUCCCAGAGGUUCUGACAUAUUCCAGUUUUGUCUGGUUGCUCUGUGAGAUAGGUGCAUAUUUGCUUCCCUGGGAUAUCCCUUCACCUUAUCCAUAAUGUUUGUUUGUAUCCCCUGUUUGGUGUAGCUUAUAUUUCUCUUUUUAUUAUGUCGAUGCAAAUGUUAUUGCAGUUUUGCCAUUACUUUCAACGGCAAAAAAAGCAAUUACUUUUGUAGCAACCUAAUAAUUUACUUCCUUGUUAUGGCAGAAUAUAGAAGGAAUGCAUAAAAAGUUAAAUUUCUGAGGAGAUAUAUAUAUAUAUAUAUAUGUAUGUAUGUAUGUCAUCUUUCUAUUGUCAUUCUUGCCUAAUAUUAGCUUAGUAUAGUACUCGAGGUUGGAAAUGUUUUUAACCUCGGAUUUUUGAAACCAUGUCUCCACUGUCUUCCAGCUGUCAGUGCUUCUAUUAAAAGCACCCAGUCAUCUGGGCACCUAACCAUUUUUGUGGACCUGUUUUUCCUCUGACUUAUAGCUUCUUUUGUCCUCAAUAUUUGGAAGUUUUACAAACAUAGGCCUUGGCAGUUGUAAAAAAUUAACCAUUUGUAUUUUUCCAUAUCAUCUCACCCAAAGUUAAGUGCUGGCUAAGUUAUGCUAGAGGUUCUUGGGAAAGUACUUCAGUGACUGUCAGUCAUUAUCUUUCUAUAGCUACACCUGAGAGAAGGUUCACAUGUGUCAUAUUUCCAUUAGUUAGCUUCAGACACUAAGAGCUACUAUACAGGUAAGAUUGGCUAAAAAUAUGUGCAAUUACUGACUAUAUACUGUUCAUGCAAUGUUUUUCUCAGCCCCCCAAAUCAUUGUCACUACACUGUAUUUUUUAAAAACAGCUUCACUAGAAACAUUUCUUAAUGUUAAGAAUUGGUAAGUCUGUUAGUCAUUGGGACUGAUUUGCCAAAAUCCAUGCAAUUAUAAUAUGGUAGAGUUGAGAUUCCACACAUACAUUAAAAUUGUGUGAUCCUUAACCAUUUGGAGCAUGGAGGUGAUGGUAGCUACCAAUGAUUUCUCAGGACUUGUGAAUUAUUUGAAUCUUUGGUGUCAUAAAUUUCUCAUGUGUUUUAGUGUUUUUAUUACAUAUUCUCAGCUUUUAACAUCAGUUGAUGUGGUUUUCACAUAUAAUUAUAAUUGAAGCAAAAUUAUACAUUUGGGUAAAUGAAUGUAUUUACCAGCACAUUCUUUAGAUAUCAAUAUAUGACCUUCAAAGUGAAUUCAUUUUGAUGUUUUUCUCCUGAAUGAGCUGUAUUUUUGCUAUAAGACUACCUCUCAAAGAAGCACCAAACUACCUGCAUUGGGUUUCAGCUCCAUAAUUAAUGAUGUCUGUUUUUUGGUAACAAAGGAGAAUAAGAAAUGUUUAUGCAAUAGUUAUCUAAUGGCAGAGAGCAGAUGAUUACUUAACCCAAGGCUAAAAAUUAUCAUUUUAUUGUCUGCAGGUGUUCAAAGAGUGUCUCUAUGGUUGAGAAUUCCUACUGAAUAUUGUCGUCUUAUGAUGCACGAUGGACAUAGGAUUUGCUUUAAAGAUUUGUCUUCUUCCCCUGAGAUGGGAGUAGAGUGAUCAGAAAGGGAAUGCAUAAAAUGAAAAUAAAUCUGUUCUAAAUU